rnacentral:rRNA from 1 species
AGGUUAACUCUGGUAAUGGGCUAUUGCCCAGGCCCCGAAAGGGAAUCCGGUUGAUAUUCCGGAACGGGAUGGAACGAGGCGGCGACGCAGUGAACUUGGAGCGACUGGCGCAGGCACCGGGAAGAGUGAUCUUUUCUUGCUAACGACGCGUGCCCACGGAAGCAGCUUGGCUGGCGAGGUGGGUGGAGCGACGGAAGAGCAGCACAUUGUGCUGUCCGGGAAGCAAGCGACGGGCCGUGAAGAUCCAAGGGAAGCGGUCCAUUGCGGCGUACUGAUAACCGCAGCAGGUCCUCAAGGUGAGCAGCCUCUAGUGAUGGAACAAAGUAGGUAAGGGAAGUCGGCAAAACAGAUCCGUAACUUUGGGACAAGGAUUGGCUCAAGAGCGCUGGAGGUGGCCGCAAGGCUUGCCUCUGGAUAGCGCAAUCUUGAACUGGCACGGAC